CAGAAGGGAGAUGAGGCCAGGGCAAGUGAGGAGGCCAAAGAAGAAUGAGGUCCGAGCAGUCUGACUGAGGCCAGCUUUAGAGACUGACCCGGCAGGGGGGCCUGGAGCACGUGGCACGUGACUGUCCAGCCUGAGGGGCAGCCAGGGGAGAAUAGCAAUGGAAGUAGGAGUGGCUCUGUCCACCACUGUACAGGUGACCUACCUGGGAGAAGCUGCAUCUCCCAUUGACACAGCUGCCCCAGAUCUAGGGUCCAGAGGCCCUGAUUCCUAGAAGGGAGACAUCUCAUCUGGCAAGGGACCCAAAAAGAGCCCCACUAAGCCUGAAUCGAUGUAAGCAGUUGGUCAUUUGGCGGCUUCUCAGACUGGCAGCCCACCGGGCAAAGAAAGGAGCUGCCAUCCUGGGUGGGGUAAUGAGUCAUCAGGAGUCUGCAGGGGCCAGGCAGGAGUAUGUCUGUAUGGAACUCGGGCAGCUCCAGGUCACUCCCAGGCCUGGGGCGAAUUGUGACCCGACAAUUAGAGCAGGCCGAGCCCUGGUGACCAGGGACUCAGACUCCGCCGGGCGAAGGGCAGGGUCACAGCCCUUAGAGUGCCAACGGGCCAAAGCUCCACUCCGGGUACCACUCAUCUUAGAUCAGGUCCCCCAAAGCAGACCCCAGAUGAGGAUCCGUGUGCGUGACGCAGGAGCCUGACAGAGAACCGAGAGGGGAGAGCAGGUGUGUUUUCAACAGAGCAGAAGACCACCUGUGCCCAGCCAUGCCUCUGAGGACCAGUGUGCGGGGGAAGGUGGAUACACAGCUCUGCCCUCCAGAACGCCGCCCCCCCCCUUGCCCCGCACAGGAGAAGCCACCCAUGGACUUUUGAAACCACAGGCCAGCAAGCCCCCAGGUGGCCUCUUAUUACAGGGCAGAAGGCAAGGACAAGCCCCAGGGGAUUACAGACAGGCAAGGUCACUCGGAGCCCAGGAGAUGCAAAAACAAUGCAAAAUAAAGAAUUGGCACUGACGAG
rnacentral:lncRNA from 1 species